GGGGUACCAAACAGGACAAUAGUUUCUCAACCGUCACUCAAGUAGUAAUUCUAACAAGGUAGAUACAAUUUAUGAUAAUGGAUUUCUUUUUUCAUUAUGAUUUUGAUGUUUAAUUACCAUUGUAGUAUUAUUUGUUAGAUGCUCCAGCUGGAGAUGGGUUUUCUUAUAUUGGAGAUUCAGAACUAAGAUUGAUCAUACUAAUCCCCUAUCCCGGCUGCCUUUAACUACAUUUUGUUCAAAUUAUAGAAAUUUUAAUGAUAGGUUUUUUGAAAUUAAAGGGCAAUUUUUUGACAAGUAUUCUGAUAAACCGAGCCCUGUUGAUGAAUGGUUCAAGCGAGGAAAGAUAGUAUGUUAAUUGGAAUUUAUUUAUUUAUUUAUUUUUUCUUUUUGGCUUCAUUGUGAUAUGAAGACAAAAUUGCAACUUAUUUUUUUCCUUUCAAAUCUUCAAAUUUUAAAAGGAUUAAGCUCAUUCGGAUGUUGAUUGAUGGGAUUUUGUAUUCAGAUGAAAGUCCAUCUUGUUGGUGGCACUAGAGAGAAAGCAAACAGCAGUGCUAGACGUACAGAAUGGUUCUUUUACAGAACCUUCACAGAAUCACGUGUCUAACACAACCGAACGAAUUUCCCCCCAAAACAAAGCCCCAAUAACGAAGGGAAACAACAAUAAAGGAAGGAAACCAAAAUUCUCUCACCAUUUGGAACCCUAAAAAUUGCCUCCACCUCUUCUCGUCCGAAAUCCACCUCAGGCAGCCCGAUCGACGAAUUGCCGCAGCAAAAUCCACAUCCGACAGCCUGUGGAGUAGUGUCCACCCAGUAUCUGCCAUCUCUUAGCUUCAGGUAAGCCGAAUUUCACUUCUUAUUUUAGUUGCUUCCAUGGUGUUGUUUGGUAAUUUUGGGAAUAUGGUGGUGUAAAUGGAAGAUUAUGAUUAUGAAUGUUGGACAAAAAUUCGAUUUGUGAAAUUCGAUUUCUGGAUAUUCGGGUUGGGGUUUGGGGGUCGGUGGGUUCCAAAGCAAAAUCAGUAGUUGCUCAUGGUGAUGACCGACAAGAAAUGACAGAUUCUUAAAUUACUUUAUCAAACCGUGCGAACUUCUUCACCAAUUUGUUCAAAGCGGUUGGGUAAUUGUUUAUACUGAUUUUUUAAUUGUUUGGUUGAAAAUGAAACAAAAAAAGGCAUCAAAGUAUUGAUUUUUAAGCAUAAGCUUCAUAUUAAUUGUUCAUCCUAUUUAUUUCAGUAAAAGUAUUGAUGAACUGCAAAGUAUGGACCACAGAGCAUGUUCGACUAUGCUUGAAAAGUUUUACAUUUUGAGUGAGUUGUAUUUUAUUUAUUUAUUUAUUUAUUUUUGAUAAACAUGUUUGGAAACAGUAACUUUUACUUACUCUAGGCUUAAGCAAACACGUUUGUGCUAAUUUUUAGGCAUGCUUUGUGAAAUUAUGCAACCGAGUAUACUUAUAAACUGGAAUAGCUAAAAUCUACGUCUUUUAAGGGACAAAUUCAAUUUUUCUAGCCAUCACUUUGGUGUUGUUAAUUCACUCGAUAAUAUUGUGGACAAUGAGUGCGGAUAUUUGUUAAUAAUUCAGUUUUUUCUUUCCAGCAUAAGGGGGAGGAAUGUUGGCGUCUAUUACGGCUAUAGAAGUACAGACCACUCCUUCCUGAAUUGCUCGAUAAAACGACGAUGCCCAUGAUGUACGCACGAACUGCAAAAAUGUUUUGAAGUUGAAAGGGAGACAAAGAACAAAGGGCGAUUAUUCAAAACAUGUAGUGUUAAUUGUGGGUAUUUUGAUUGGAUUGUAAACGAAGAAUCAAGCGGUGAAUCUAACACGACUAAUGAAGCAGUGAAUCUUGAAGCCAUCGAGGAAGCCGAAGAUUUGCUGACCAUGUUCGACAGUCUAGCUAGAAUAGUUGAAAAAAGAGAUAUUGAAAUUUCAUUGAAUAUGACAUUUCAUAAGAGAAAGGAAAGUGCCGAUGUGAAUGGGAAUGGAAAAGGGAAGGGCCACGCCCCAUAGGUAGUAGGCAAAACUGAUUUUGAUGUUUCGAAAUAUUACUUUGCUAUUUUUGUCCAUAAAUAAAUUGAGUAUAUUCUAUUGCUUAGGUUUGGUGGUGGUAAAUGGUGGCUGUGUUCAAUUUUAUCUUCAUUAAGUGUUAAAUAGGUAAUGGAUGUUUAAGAUGGUGGUUUUGGAGAACUUGUAUGGAUAAUGGCAGUGUGUGCUGUAAUGAAAUUGGUAAUCGUGUUUUGGAAUGCAAGUGGUGGUGUUAUAUUUGUGAACUAAUUUUCUGUUUGUUCAUUGCUUGAGUUAAACUAUGUAUAUAUAUCAUAGGUUGCAUCUUAUUUUGGAGGUUUUAGUUUGUUUCAAUCGUCUUCUGGAUUUGAUGUUUAAAUUAUCUUAGUUAUGGGAAAGUUGUGACUUGAAAGGCCCUUAGUGGUUUUCGAAGUUCCUCGAUUAUGAUGGCAGAGGAAUGGAUGGCUGUCGGCCUGAAGAUACACAUUUGAUUUGAAGAUUGCUUUCCCAACAGAUUGAAACCGAGGCAGAAAAUCUAGUUUUUGCUGACAUCAAAUUGAACUCAACUUUUCUCUCCAUCCAAUCCCCCCAAAUAUUGCAGUCCUCCUUACAUUAAAAUGGCAGAAAAAAUAAAGAGCACAAGCAAAAUGCAAAAACUAACGUUUUCAGCAAAAACUGUCCAUUUACUCUCUCAUUAACAUAAUCAAGUUCCUCAAAGAAGUGAGCAACUCAUUCAUCAACCAACACAAUGAGGUUAACAGAUGUCUUAAAA
rnacentral:lncRNA from 1 species